rnacentral:rRNA from 1 species
GACGAACGCUGGCGGCGUGCUUAACACAUGCAAGUCGAGCGGAGCGGCGAACGGGUGAGUAACGCGUUAGUAACUGCCCCCCUCUCUGGGAUAACAGUUGGAAACGGCUGCUAAUACCGGAUAGUGGGGGAUGACUUGAGUCCUAUCAGCUUGUUGGGGGGGUAGUGGCCUACCAAGGCGACGACGGGUAGCCGGCCUGGGAGGGAGGCCAGCCACAUGGGGCUGAGGUACGGACCAAACGCCAACGGGGGGCAGCAGUGGGGAAUAUGGCGCAAUGGGGGAAACCCUGAUGCAGCAACGCCGCGUGCGGGAUGACGGCCUUCGGGGUGUAAACCGCUUUCAGCCAUGACGCGGUAGUGGCAGAAGAAGCACCGGCUAACUACGUGCCAGCAGCCGCGGUAAUUC